UUUUUUUUUUUUUUUUUUUUUUGUGUUACCAUCUUGUGGCAUGUAUAUGAACUAUUACACUUAUAUUCAGUUGUGAAGCCAUUUUGCUUUAAUGAACCUUGUAACAAUUGUUUCAUUGCUUUUUUGUAUGUUAAAUAUACAAACAAUUUCAGUGUAUCGGGUCUUGGCUAUUGAAUAGAUCAAUUUUGCAUUAGUUUAUCUACAUUCCUGUCUUAUCAAAUUGAGCAUUCGAUGUAUUUUGAAACUGAAAGCGAUCUAGACCUUCUCUUAUUUGGCUUACACAAAAGGUUGUUAGGGCUUCUAUCUUCAAUGUCUGUAAUAAAUGUCUCGCUUCCAACAGAAU